rnacentral:rRNA from 1 species
GAUGAACGCUGGCGGCGUGCCUAAUACAUGCAAGUCGAGCGAACAGACGAGGAGCUUGCUCCUCUGACGUUAGCGGCGGACGGGUGAGUAACACGUGGAUAACCUACCUAUAAGACUGGGAUAACUUCGGGAAACCGGAGCUAAUACCGGAUAAUAUAUUGAACCGCAUGGUUCAAUAGUGAAAGACGGUUUUGCUGUCACUUAUAGAUGGAUCCGCGCCGCAUUAGCUAGUUGGUAAGGUAACGGCUUACCAAGGCAACGAUGCGUAGCCGACCUGAGAGGGUGAUCGGCCACACUGGAACUGAGACGCGGUCCAGACUCCGACGGGAGGCAGCAGUAGGGAAUCUUCCGCAAUGGGCGAAAGCCUGACGGAGCAACGCCGCGUGAGUGAUGAAGGUCUUCGGAUCGUAAAACUCUGUUAUUAGGGAAGAACAAAUGUGUAAGUAACUAUGCACGUCUUGACGGUACCUAAUCAGAAAGCCACGGCUAACUACGUG